rfam:Oryza sativa (indica cultivar-group) chromosome 10, whole genome shotgun sequence.
AAUAAGUAAUGUUUUGCACUAUUCAUGUCUAACGUUUGACUAUUUAUCUUAUUUAAAAUUUUUUAAUGGUUAGUAUUUUUAUUUUAUUAGAUGAUAAAAUAUGAAUAGUACUUUAUGUUUAAUUAAUUAAUUUUAUUUUUUCAUAAAUUUUUCAAAUAAGAUGAACGGUCAAACGUUAGACACGAAUAUCUACGGCCGCACUUAUU